rnacentral:lncRNA from 1 species
CCCCCAUCACACAAAGGACUUCCCAAACUUCAGCUGAUGCCAAGAGAAGCAGAUGAGGAAUGAUCUCUCCUGGCUUACACUCCAUUUUCAUGUACAAUUUAUAGAGCUUAGUUUUAAUGUAUAGCCUUAAACAGACUCUGCCCUUCUCCUUCCAUGGGAUAAUGGAGCUUACGACAAGCCAGGGGCACCUGGAUGAAGAAGGAUUUCGGUUGCCAGGGUCACCAUGGAGCACCUUGGGAACAAGGCCUGUCGUGAUUAAGUAUGUGUGCAUGAGAAGGCGAG